GAUGAACGCUGGCGGCGUGCCUAAUACAUGCAAGUCGAGCGAACGGACGAGAAGCUUGCUUCUCUGAUGUUAGCGGCGGACGGGUGAGUAACACGUGGAUAACCUACCUAUAAGACUGGGAUAACUUCGGGAAACCGGAGCUACUACCGGAUAAUAUUUUGAACCGCAUGGUUCAAAAGUGAAAGACGGUCUUGCUGUCACUUAUAGAUGGAUCCGCGCUGCAUUAGCUAGUUGGUAAGGUAACGGCUUACCAAGGCAACGAUGCAUAACCGACCUGAGAGGGUGAUCGGCCACACUGGAACUGAGACACGGUCCAGACUCCUACGGGAGGCAGCAGUAGGGAAUCUUCCGCAAUGGGCGAAAGCCUGACGGAGCAACGCCGCGUGAGUGAUGAAGGUCUUCGGAUCGUAAAACUCUGUUAUUAGGGAAGAACAUAUGUGUAAGUAACUGUGCACAUCUUGACGGUACCUAAUCAGAAAGCCACGGCUAACUACGUG
rnacentral:rRNA from 1 species